AGCGAACGCUGGCGGCAGGCUUAACACAUGCAAGUCGAGCGGGUGUAGCAAUACAUCAGCGGCAGACGGGUGAGUAACGCGUGGGAACGUACCUUUUGGUUCGGAACAACCCAGGGAACCUUGGGCUAAUACCGGAUAAGCCCUUACGGGGAAAGAUUUAUCGCCGAAAGAUCGGCCCGCGUCUGAUUAGCUAGUUGGUGAGGUAAUGGCUCACCAAGGCGACGAUCAGUAGCUGGUCUGAGAGGAUGAUCAGCCACGUUGGGACUGAGACACGGCCCAAACUCCUACGGGAGGCAACAGUGGGGAAUAUUGGACAAUGGGGGCAACCCUGAUCCAGCCAUGCCGCGUGAGUGAUGAAGGCCCUAGGGUUGUAAAGCUCUUUUGUGCGGGAAGAUAAUGACGGUACCGCAAGAAUAAGCCCCGGCUAACUUCGUGCCAGCCGCCGCAGUAAAAA
rnacentral:rRNA from 1 species